rnacentral:rRNA from 1 species
UACAGAGGUCUCAAGCGUUGUUCGGAUUCAUUGGGCGUAAAGGGUGUGUAGGUGGCGCGCUAAGUCGGGUGUGAAAUUUCGGAGCUUAACUCCGAAACUGCAUUCGAUACUGGCGUGCUUGAGGACUGGAGAGGAGACUGGAAUUCAUGGUGUAGCAGUGAAAUGCGUAGAGAUCAUGAGGAAGACCAGUGGCGAAGGCGGGUCUCUGGACAGUUCCUGACACUGAGACACGAAGGCUAGGGGAGUAAACGGG